rnacentral:rRNA from 1 species
GACGAACGCUGGCGGCGUGCUUAACACAUGCAAGUCGAGCGGAAAGGCCCUUUGGGGUACUCGAGCGGCGAACGGGUGAGUAACACGUGAGUAACCUGCCCUGGACUUUGGGAUAACCCUCGGAAACGAGGGCUAAUACCGGAUAUGACUGCCCUUCGCAUGGGGGGUGGUGGAAAGUUUUUCGGUCUGGGAUGGGCUCGCGGCCUAUCAGCUUGUUGGUGGGGUGAUGGCCUACCAAGGCGACGACGGGUAGCCGGCCUGAGAGGGCGACCGGCCACACUGGGACUGAGACACGGCCCAGACUCCUACGGGAGGCAGCAGUGGGGAAUAUUGCACAAUGGGCGGAAGCCUGAUGCAGCGACGCCGCGUGAGGGAUGACGGCCUUCGGGUUGUAAACCUCUUUCAGCAGGGACGAAGCGGCCGGGUUUUCCUGGUCGUGACGGUACCUGCAGAAGAAGCGCCGGCCAACUACGUGCCAGCAGCCGCGGUAAGACGUAGGGCGCGAGCGUUGUCCGGAUUUAUUGGGCGUAAAGAGCUCGUAGGCGGCUUGUCGCGUCGACCGUGAAAACUUGGGGCUCAACUCCAAGCUUGCGGUCGAUACGGGCAGGCUGGAGUUCGGUAGGGGAGACUGGAAUUCCUGGUGUAGCGGUGAAAUGCGCAGAUAUCA